CCUAACCCGGCCACAGGGGCCGGUGCCACACCUGGACUCGUCCGAUCCCAGAAGUUAAGGCCGGCCCCGCGCUCGGGAGUACUGGGCUCCGAGAGGGCCCGGGAAACCGGCGUGCCGGGAGGG
rnacentral:rRNA from 1 species